GACGAACGCUGGCGGCGUGCCUAAUACAUGCAAGUCGAGCGAUGAAGAUUGGUGCUUGCACCAAUUUGAAGAGCAGCGAACGGGUGAGUAACGCGUGGGGAAUCUGCCUUUGAGCGGGGGACAACAUUUGGAAACGAAUGCUAAUACCGCAUAACAACUUUAAACAUAAGUUUUAAGCUUGAAAGAUGCAAUUGCAUCACUCAAAGAUGAUCCCGCGUUGUAUUAGCUAGUUGGUGAGGUAAAGGCUCACCAAGGCGAGGAUACAUAGCCGACCUGCGAGGGUGCGCUGCCACGUUGGGACGGGGACACGGCCCAAACCCCUGCGGGUGGCAGCCGUAGGGGACCCUCGGGGAUGGCAGCAAGUCGGACCGAGCAACGCCGCGUGAGUGAAGAAGGUUGUCGGGUCGUAAAACUCUGUUGGUAGUGAGGAACGUUGGUGAGAGUGGAAAGCUCAUCAAGUGACGGUAACUACACAGAAAGGGACGGCUAACUACGUG
rnacentral:rRNA from 1 species